rnacentral:rRNA from 1 species
GACGAACGCUGGCGGCGUGCCUAAUACAUGCAAGUUGAGCGCUGAAGGUUGGUACUUGUACCAACUGGAUGAGCAGCGAACGGGUGAGUAACGCGUGGGGAAUCUGCCUUUGAGCGGGGGACAACAUUUGGAAACGAAUGCUAAUACCGCAUAAAAACUUUAAACACAAGUUUUAAGUUUGAAAGAUGCAAUUGCAUCACUCAAAGAUGAUCCCGCGUUGUAUUAGCUAGUUGGUGAGGUAAAGGCUCACCAAGGCGAUGAUACAUAGCCGACCUGAGAGGGGGAUCGGCCACAUUGGGACUGAGACACGGCCCAAACUCCUACGGGAGGCAGCAGUAGGGAAUCUUCGGCAAUAGACGAAAGUCUGACCGAGCAACGCCGCGUGAGUGAAGAAGGUUUUCGGAUCGUAAAACUCUGUUGGUAGAGAAGAACGUUGGUGAGAGUGGAAAGCUCAUCAAGUGACGGUAACUACCCAGAAAGGGACGGCUAACUACGUG